rnacentral:rRNA from 1 species
GUCUAUGGCCAUACCACCUGAAUGCACCCGACCUUUUCUGGUCUCAGAAGCUAAGCAGAGUCAGGCCUGAUUAGUACUUGAAUGGGAGACAGAUCUUCAGAGGAGACU